GACGAACGCUGGCGGCGUGCUUAACACAUGCAGGUCGAGCGGAAAGGCCUUUCGGGGUACUCGAGCGGCGAACGGGUGAGUAACACGUGAGUAACCUGCCCCUGGCUUUGGGAUAACCAUCGGAAACGGUGGCUAAUACCGAAUAUUCACUUUAGACCGCAUGGUUUUUUGUGGAAAGUUUUUCGGCUGGGGAUGGGCUCGCGGCCUAUCAGCUUGUUGGUGGGGUGAUGGCCUACCAAGGCUUUGACGGGUAGCCGGCCUGAGAGGGCGACCGGCCACACUGGGACUGAGACACGGCCCAGACUCCUACGGGAGGCAGCAGUGGGGAAUAUUGCACAAUGGGCGGAAGCCUGAUGCAGCGACGCCGCGUGAGGGAUGACGGCCUUCGGGUUGUAAACCUCUUUCAGCAGGGACGAAGCGAAAGUGACGGUACCUGCAGAAGAAGCGCCGGCCAACUACGUGCCAGCCGCCGCAGUAACAC
rnacentral:rRNA from 1 species